UGAACGAGAGAGAGAAAGAGAGAAAGAGAGCAGAAGAGACCCGUGUGAGAGAGACGGUUGUGUCUGCUCUCUCUCUCUCUCUCUCUCUGCCGAUGCGC
rnacentral:miRNA from 1 species